rnacentral:rRNA from 1 species
AUUGAACGCUGGCGGCAUGCCUUACACAUGCAAGUCGAACGGCAGCACGGGAGCAAUCCUGGUGGCGAGUGGCGAACGGGUGAGUAAAGUAUCGGAACGUGCCCAGUCGUGGGGGAUAACGUAGCGAAAGUUACGCUAAUACCGCAUACGAUCUAUGGAUGAAAGCGGGGGAUCGCAAGACCUCGCGCGAUUGGAGCGGCCGAUAUCAGAUUAGAUAGUUGGUGGGGUAAAGGCUCACCAAGCCGACGAUCUGUAGCUGGUCUGAGAGGAUGAUCAGCCACACUGGAACUGAGACACGGUCCAGACUCCUACGGGAGGCAGCAGUGGGGAAUUUUGGACAAUGGGCGAAAGCCUGAUCCAGCCAUGCCGCGUGCAGGAUGAAGGCCUUCGGGUUGUAAACUGCUUUUGUACGGAGCGAAAAGGUUUGGCCUAAUAAGCUGAGCUCAUGACGGUACCGUAAGAAUAAGCACCGGCUAACUACGUGCCAGCCGCCGCGGUAA